ACAUAUAUCUAUAAUAUAAAAUUACAAUAUAAACAUAUAUAUUUAUAAAACAAAAUUUAAUUUCAAUUGGAUAUAUACUCAAUUUUGUUUUCUCAGAUACUUCUUAAAAAGGACAUUUUUCUAUGCAUAAGAGGGAGCUGCUUAUUCCAUGAUUCUCAAGACAGCUUCAUCCAGACACUGGCCAUGGUGAGAUUUCAAAUGUUUUCUUUGGAAAUUUUUGUUGUGGGGGUUGGGGCAUGGAGUAUAAUUAGUCAAGUAUGGUUCUCACCCAAGAAAGCUUCAAUGUGAAAAAAACAAGAUGUGUGUAUUUGUGUGUGUGUGUGUGUGUGUGUGUGUGUGUUCUGCAAAUGUAUUAAUGUAACUCUGUGUGUGUCUUUAUGAAGCUUAGGAGAGCUUCUUGGCAGCAGAGCAAGGAGAAGUCAUAAACCCAGCCUUGGGUAAUGUACUAGUUAGACUUUUACUGUAUUGGGUUGGUUGUGCUUUUGUUCUUUCUUGGCUCAUUAACUGGAUAGAGGUAACGGAAAUCUAGAGAAGGUUCAGAGAUGAGCCCAGAGAACUUCAAAGUCACAAAAGACCUAAUAGCAAUAUUUAGGUAGUAGAAAACAUGGAGAGGUGUGAGGUACUUGGAGACUGUGACAAUAUCUUUAAUCACAUGAAGUUCUUAGAUGCCAGUAACUUAGUCUUCUCCUGUGUUUCUGGAGACACUAAGUAAAAUUAAAGAGUUUUAAAUCAUAGCUGUCAUGGCCUAGUCGUUGGCAGUGGGGUAAUGAGUAUUCAUCAACUGCCAUUGACAAGAUUGUGAUCCUUUCACUCUGAAAGCUCUGGAAUACUAAAAUCUGUAAUAAGGCAAAAUUGACGAUUCUCCAUCUCCUCUGAUUUUAUGCCCAUAGAUUUUCUACUCAUGUUUUGUAGUCACCAGAACUACCCUGCUUAUGGCAAAGUUGCUUUUGUUACAUAUAG
rnacentral:lncRNA from 12 species